CCUUACUAGGUUUUCCUCCCCACAUAGUUAGCAGCGAAGAGCGUAUAUCAACAUAUCAACAUGAAGUCAUUUUCUUCUUCUUUUUCCCUUUCUAUCUCUAAUCCAUCAAUGCAUGUAGCUGUGUUCGAAAAGGUGAAGACAUUAACGCUCCUCAAUGGAUUGAUUUCACUAAUCAUGAUCCUCCUGUUUAUGAUGAAGCUUUGGGCAUUCACAAAUCUCGUUGAAUUUUAGGGUUUGCUAUCCACCAUUUUCAUGCACCACUUCUUCCAUCAAUUUCUAGAAGAACACCUUUUCUCUUUUUCCAUCCACAAUCAUAUUUAGUUAAUUUUCUAAUCCACUAUGGGCCUGCAAAUACACACCGCUUUUCUGCUUUUUUCUCUAUCUCAACAACGAUCGGUCUUUCAAGGAGGCAUCACCGUCAAUCGGGAUCGGAAUCGGCUUUGUUGCCGGAAUUUGAUCACCCCAGUCUCAUAUUAUCCUUUUCUAUUUAAUCAAGUAACUUGCGUAUUCCUUUUCACUUGCUCCUAGCAACCACCAAUUAUUACAAAUGAUGGUCCCACUAAUCAUAUGGUUACAUCAAAAUAGCCAGAGAAAACCCAUACGGACGUCCUCUCUGAUGCUAGACGAACCUGCUACAAGAAAGAAUCAAAGAUGAAAGCCACAUUACUGAAAAAAAUCAUCGUCCUCUUCAACAUUCAUGUGGUUAUAGAGGUUCUCUGAAGAUUGACACCACAGGUCUAUCUGUGUGCUCUUAAACUUAUUGUCAAAUAUGCUACUGCUUCUCUCAGAUCACUAUCUCUUUUGAUGAGACAACAAUGAUUGAAGAUGUUGAUAAUUUGUUCAAAGUUUUCGCCUUGGGAAAACCCGUGGCAUUCAGUGCCAUGUCACUUGCACCAGAGGUUGAGGAUAAUAUCCCUUCCAGAUUUGUCUGGGAAACUCCAUAUUUGACUCAUUUGAUUUUCAACACUUAUCAUACGGAGCAUGAGCUACUAAGAUACAUUAGUAAGUUGUAGUCAAAUGAUCUGUCAUUAUGCCACAAUAUGAUUCCUCUGGGAUCUUGUACCAUGAAGCUUAAUGCAACUACAGAGAUGAUGCUUGAGACAUGGCUAGUCUUUGCAGAUUUGCAUCCUUUUGCUCCUACCCAACAGGCACAGGGGUAUCAGGAAAUGUUCAAGAAUUUGGGUGACAUGUUGUGUACCUUAACCGGAUUCGUCUCCUUCUCUUUGCAACCAAAUGUUGGAGCUGCUGGAGAGUAUGUUGGAAUGUCCGAGCUUAUCAUAUGGCGACAGGAAAUCAUCAUCGUAAUGUGUGUAUCAUCCAUGUGUCUACACGUGGAACAAAUCCUGCAAGUGUUGCUAUGUGUGGAAUGAAAAUUAUUACUGUGGGAACUGACUCCAAAGGUAAUAUCAAUAUUGAAGAGAUACGCAAGGAUGCUGAGGCAAACAAGGAGUAUGUAUAUGCUCUUAUGGUUUCCUAUCCUUCUACUCACGGAGUUUAUGAGGAGGGUAUUGAUGAGAUUUGCAAGAUUAUUCUUGACAAUGGAGGUCAAGUUUACAUGGAUGGAGCUAACAUGAAUGCACAGGUUGGUUUAACAAGUCUAGGGUGGAAUGGUGCUUAACAAGUCCAGGGUGGAAUGGUGCUGAUGUUUGUCAUCUAAACCUUCACAAUACAUUUUGCAUUCCACAUGGUGGUGGUAGGCCCGGAAUGGGCCCCAUUGGUGUGAAGAAACACUUGGCACCUUACUUGCCUUCACACCCUAUGGUUGCAACCAACCCCUGAAUCAGCACAUGUUGAAUUAAGGAUCAAGAACAUAACGGAGACUACUAUGGGCUUUUAGCUUUUUGUUGAAUGGAAAAGUAGUGAAUGGGAGGACUUGUGUUUUUAAGGUUUGUAUUAUUAACCAUUUGAGCCAAUUUGCUUUUGUAAAUGGUGUUACAUGAUCCUAUUUCUCGUGUUUCCCUA